UACGAAGGGGGCGAGCGUUGUUCGGAAUCACUGGGCGUAAAGGGCGCGUAGGCGGCCUCUCUUGUCGCGUGUGAAAGCCCCGGGCUCAACCUGGGAACGGCGCGCGAGACGGGGGGGGCUGGAGUUCGGUAGGGGAGACUGGAAUUCCGGGUGUAGCGGUUGAAAUGCGCAGAUAUCAGGAGGAACACCGGUGGCGAAGGCGGGUCUCUGGGCCGAUACUGACGCUGAGGAGCGAAAGCGUGGGGAGCGAACAGG
rnacentral:rRNA from 1 species